UACGGAGGGGGGCUAGCGUUGUUCGGAAUUACUGGGCGUAAAGCGCACGUAGGCGGCUUUGUAAGUUAGAGGUGAAAGCCCGGGGCUCAACUCCGGAAUUGCCUUUAAGACUGCAUCGCUAGAAUUGUGGAGAGGUAAGUGGAAUUCCGAGUGUAGAGGUGAAAUUCGUAGAUAUUCGGAAGAACACCAGUGGCGAAGGCGACUUACUGGACACAUAUUGACGCUGAGGUGCAAAGCGUGGGGAGCAAACAGGAUUAGAAACCCCCGGU
rnacentral:rRNA from 1 species